GAUGAACGCUGGCGGCGUGCUUAACACAUGCAAGUCGAACGGGAAUUAUUUUAUUGACACUUCGGUCGAUUUAAUUUAAUUCUAGUGGCGGACGGGUGAGUAACGCGUGGGUAACCUGCCUUAUACAGGGGGAUAACAGUCAGAAAUGGCUGCUAAUACCGCAUAAGCGCACAGAGCUGCAUGGCUCAGUGUGAAAAACUCCGGUGGUAUAAGAUGGACCCGCGUUGGAUUAGCUGGUUGGUGGGGUAACGGCCCACCAAGGCGACGAUCCAUAGCCGGCCUGAGAGGGUGAACGGCCACAUUGGGACUGAGACACGGCCCAGACUCCUACGGGAGGCAGCAGUGGGGAAUAUUGCACAAUGGGGGAAACCCUGAUGCAGCGACGCCGCGUGAAGGAAGAGGUAUCUCGGUAUGUAAACUUCUAUCAGCAGGGAAGAUAGUGACGGUACCUGACUAAGAAGCCCCGGCUAACUACGUG
rnacentral:rRNA from 1 species